AGCAGCUGCACCCAGAACAGCUUGCAGGAUACGGGUUGGGAUGACUGGCUGGUCAGGAGGAAAGGAUCACUGGAAAGCAGGGAUAGAAGAGACCUCAAGAGGUCAUCUAGUCCAGCCCUCUGCUCAAGUAAACCUUGCAGGUGGAAGUGGAAGAGCAUGCAUCCAUGCAGAUACACACACGUGUACUGGGGAGGAGACUUCCUAGAAGUAGCUCAUGUAGGCCACUAUGAAAUGUAAAGAAGCUGUCAGAGACUGAAAGGAAGAGAAGAAAAGAACACAAGUCACCUCUGUGGACCUUCACCUGGGUUAAGAAAGCACUACUGAUGGAGAUAAAUACAGUGGAUUCCUUGUAUUGGAAAUGGUGAUUUGAUUCUGCUAACCAGCUGAUUCCAUUAAAAGG